UACGGAGGGAGCUAGCGUUGUUCGGAAUUACUGGGCGUAAAGGGCGCGUAGGCGGCCUGCUAAGUCGGAUGUGAAAUCCCUCGGCUCAACCGAGGAACUGCAUCCGAUACUGGCGGGCUUGAAUCCGGGAGAGGGAUGUGGAAUUCCAGGUGUAGCGGUGAAAUGCGUAGAUAUCUGGAGGAACACCGGUGGCGAAGGCGGCAUCCUGGACCGGUAUUGACGCUGAGGCGGCGAAAAGCUAGGGGAGCAAACGGGAUUAGAAAACCCC
rnacentral:rRNA from 1 species